GGCGGGUUGCCGGAACGGUAAACGGAACCGACUGUAAAUCGGUAAUACCCUUCGGGGCAUGUGGGUUCAACUCCCACACCCGCCGCCA
rnacentral:tRNA from 1 species